UGGGGAAUAUUGGACAAUGGGCGAAAGCCUGAUCCAGCCAUGCCGCGUGUGUGAAGAAGGUCUUCGGAUUGUAAAGCACUUUAAGUUGGGAGGAAGGGCAUUAACCUAAUACGUUAGUGUUUUGACGUUACCGACAGAAUAAGCACCGGCUAACUCUGUGCCAGCAGCCGCGGAAAUACAGAGGGUGCAAGCGUUAAUCGGAAUUACUGGGCGUAAAGCGCGCGUAGUUGGUUUGUUAAGUUGGAUGUGAAAUCCCCGGGCUCAACCUGGGAACUGCAUUCAAAACUGACUGACUAGAGUAUGGUAGAGGGUGGUGGAAUUUCCUGUGUAGCGGUGAAAUGCGUAGAUAUAGGAAGGAACACCAGUGGCGAAGGCGACCACCUGGACUAAUACUGACACUGAGGUGCGAAAGCGUGGGGAGCAAACA
rnacentral:rRNA from 1 species